CCGGGGGGGGCUAGGGUCAGUCUUAUCUCUGGUGUAAUUUUCCUGUCUUAUCUGGUGUCCUGUGUGAAUUUAUGCAUGCUCCCUCUCUCUCUCCCUCCCAGAGGACCUGAGCCCUAGGAUCAUGACUCAGGACUACCUGGCUUUGACUCCUAGCUAUCCCAGUCCACCUGGUCGUGCUGCUGCUCCAGUUUCUACUGUUCUGCCUACAGCUAGGGAACCCUGACCUGUUCACCGGAUGUGCUACCUUGUCCCGGACCUACUGUUUUUCGACCUUCUCCUCCUCUCUACCACACUUGCUGUCUCGACAUCUGAAUGCUUGGCUAUGAAAAGCCAACGGACAUUUACUCCUGAGGGCCUACCAAAGCAAGGUUGCUCAAACAACUGUGGGGUGUUUGUUUUGAUGGAAAACAUGCUGCAAAUUAGGCGACGGUGGUGCCUACUUUUCCUGCAGAACUUUCCCAUGCCGUCUGAAGAAGAGCGGUUGAAAGAUCGAAAAAGGCGGUGAAAUCAAAACGCACUACAGGAUGAUGUAGAUGUCUCCCCAAGAAGUCACAUCAGCAUCCAGCUCUGCAGGACCAGGAAGCAGAUGUUCUUCUAAGGGACACUUUAGAGGCAGUAAGGUGGUGCGAACGACAAACAUUUAAAGGCACUGUUUCCCUCAGUGUAAUUGGGAUGGACGUGGAAGACCUCAUUAUAAC
ensembl:lncRNA